GACGAACGCUGGCGGCGUGCUUAACACAUGCAAGUCGAACGGAAAGGCCCUGCUUUUGUGGGGUGCUCGAGUGGCGAACGGGUGAGUAACACGUGAGUAACCUGCCCUUGACUUUGGGAUAACUUAAGGAAACAGGGGCUACUACCGGAUAGGAGCUCCUGCUGAAUGGUGGGGGUUGGAAAGUUUCGGCGGUUGGUCAUGGACUGGCGGCCACUCAGCUAGUUAGUGGGGUAGUGGCUUACCAAGGCUUUGACGGGUAGCCGGCCUGAGAGGGUGUCCGGCCACAUUGGGACUGGGCUGCGGCCCAGACUGCUACGGGAGGCAGCAGUGGGGAAUAUUGCACAAUGGGCGGAAGCCUGAUGCAGCAACGCCGCGUGCGGGAUGACGGCCUUCGGGUUGUAAACCGCUUUCGCCUGUGACGAAGCGUGAGUGACGGUAAUGGGUAAAGAAGCACCGGCUAACUACGUG
rnacentral:rRNA from 1 species